UCAUAUAUUAACCUUACAAAAUACUUUACAUUUACAAAUGGCUCAAUAUUUUAUUCUCUAGUCGUCUCCCACCCUCCGGUCAAGCCUAGUCUUGAAUGACGACAUCUUCUGGACGUUCUUGCGUUAGUCGACGACUGCAUCUAAAAAGCAGAGGAAGCAAGAAUGAGUACGACAUGUCAUACUCAGCAAGCAGAUACUUCACCAUUCAACAAGGAGAAUAGUAUGAUGGUGUAGAUUAAUAGAUGAACUGAACAAGGUAAUUUUCAUUGAAACAUAUUUUGGUGUAAAUGGACAAAAGAACAUAUAACUGGAUUUAAUGGAAACAACCGGGAAUUUAUUGGCGUCACACAUGACCGCAAACUUCCCAACCCGGGAGUCACAGGGGUGAAAUUUCACACUUUUACACUCUUAAGAGGGGUACUCCGACAUCAACAGCCUCGACUAGAACCACACAAGUUCCAGAAGAGCAGAGCACUUUGAUCCCCCAAAAACCGGGCUCCCGACUUACUAGUGUCGAUCGCUCCUGCGGAUCCAUCAUCGACACGCUUCCGAAUGAGUGCCAUUUUUAGCGGAGAACUCAGACAGUCCCAUACCUGAACUGUGACCGGUACAAUACGUUUACCGUCGUGCCACCAAUAUAGAUGGACAUAAUAUGAUAUGUGGCCGAAUCAGCUAUAGAAUCACCGAAAUAUCAGUCAAGACAAUAAACUCAUGCCUUUAGAUGAAUUCCUCUCAUAUCAAACUGAUUCCAUCAACAAAUGGAUUAUCACGGACAACAUGUCCUUCAACAAAUGGAUUAUCGAGGACAACAUGUCCUUCUCAAAUAGAACAGGGAUCAACAGAGGAUAAAUAAGAUUCGGGUGCAGCAGUAUAUAAUCAAGAAAGACAACGAACUAGGGAGUUAGCAAAGUAGCUACUUGCCUUAGAUAAUAUGAUUUAUCCUUUAGAAUAAUAUUCUACCAGAAGAUGAAACUCCAUCAUCUUUAUGUAAUCUGGCAAAUGCAGAUAUACUAAUAUUCUCCUGAUGUAUGGCACGCCUCUUCCCUUCAGCAGCACCUACACGAUCUAUAUAUCUUCAAACAUGGACGCAUGCAUACAUGUAUUCUUCAUCUCUCUUCUCUUCGCUCUCUCCGCUGGUAUGCUCUAUUUCUCUCAUGCUCUUUCUCCUAUGGUAUCUUCUCUUCGCUCUAUUUCUCUCAUGCUCUCACUCUUGG
rnacentral:lncRNA from 1 species